UAAUACGUAGGGUGCAAGCGUUGUCCGGAAUUAUUGGGCGUAAAGAGCUCGUAGGCGGUUUGUCGCGUCGAAUGUGAAAACCCGGGGCUCAACUCCGGGCCUGCAUUCGAUACGGGCAGACUAGAGUUCGGUAGGGGAGACUGGAAUUCCUGGUGUAGCGGUGAAAUGCGCAGAUAUCAGGAGGAACACCGGUGGCGAAGGCGGGUCUCUGGGCCGAUACUGACGCUGAGGAGCGAAAGCGUGGGGAGCGAACAGGAUUAGAUACCCUGGUAGUCCACGCCGUAAACGUUGGGCGCUAGGUGUGGGGGUCCUUCCACGACCUCCGUGCCGCAGCUAACGCAUUAAGCGCCCCGCCUGGGGAGUACGGCCGCAAGGCUA
rnacentral:rRNA from 1 species